rnacentral:lncRNA from 1 species
AGUGUGUGGCUUACUGGGCCUCCGGCUCUGGGAAGGGGUCUGCGAGGCCCCCGGGGCCGCGGGGCCGCUGCUGAAGGCCCUGGCCCGGGCCCCCACCACGUCACUUCAGUGUGCCGUCGACUUGGCCCCGGAGGAGGGCAGGCCGGCCGUCCUGCUGGUUUGCCAAGGAGGAAACCUGUGGUGCCAAGGUGGCCCAGGGACAAAGCCGGCUACAGAGCCAGGGGGAGGGCGUCUGGGUCCAGCCGUCUGACGGCAGGAAAGAAAGGGCCAGGAGAGGAACAAGCCCAGCGCGGGUGGAGGGACGGCGGCUGUGGCGGAAGGGCGGCUGGGGGGGCGGGGGCCGGCCCCUGCCUCCUCUCCCGGGCUCAGCCCUCAGGACCACGAGCCCAGCACGGUCCUCUCAGACCUUCUCCUGCGGGGGGCGGAGCGGUGCUUAGCCCUGCAGAAGGAGCUGAAGUCUGCCGCCCCCGCCGUGGGCCGGUCCUCCCCCAUCACGGGCCCUGGGCACCCUUCCCAAGCUGGACACACACCCUCCCUGCUGUGGGAGUCGGGGCUCUGGAGCCAAAUUCCCCUGCGCUGGGAUGCGAAGGGGCUGGGGGAGGAGCUAUAAGGGGCAGCGGGCCCCCAGGGAAGACCCCUCCAGCGAGCGGCCCUCACCACGCACACAGACGCUUCCCCCACUUCUGCCUGGGAGGGAGCCUGAAGGCAGGCAGGUGCUGCCAGCCUGCCCAGAGCUGGGGUGAGAUCAACCAGCACCCCCAAGGCCCCUGGCUCGCCCAGCUCUGCCGCCAGCCAAGGAGGGAGGGAGGGUAAAUAUUUGUCAAGGCAGGAGAGUCUGCGAAGGGUGAAAAAGUCAGGUACUAUAGCUGCGCUGCGGCGGAGGGCUGGGGGGAGGUUCUGAGAACCGGUACCGGCACCGCCUGAAGCCGCCCCCCACCCCGCCCUGACCCCCAGUCCAGUCUCCUUCCUUUCGUCGCCAAAACGACCGACCCACGGUCAGCCCCGGAUGCCCGAGGCUUUGGAGGCGCCGAGCGCCAUUCCCCUCCGGUGACCCCAGUCCCUGGCGACACAGCUCGAGCCAGGACGAGCGCGGGCCGACGGCCUCCUCCAGCGACACCCCUAAACCGAGCGUGGGAUCUCCGGGAACCCUGCAGGCCCUCCUUCUUCCGCCCGCCCGGCCCGGCCAGGCGCGCAGCUGGAUCGCGCGCCCUGCACGCGGCGCAUCCCUGGGCAGGAGCAGGGCCGGGGCGGGCCGGGCGGGGCGCGGGCCGCCGGGCCUCCCGCCCGCU